GGGUUGUAAACUGCUUUUAUACGGGAAGAAACGCACCUACGUGUAGGUGUCUGACGGUACCGUAAGAAUAAGGACCGGCUAACUCCGUGCCAGCAGCCGCGGUAAUACGGAGGGUCCGAGCGUUAUCCGGAAUCAUUGGGUUUAAAGGGUCCGUAGGCGGGCCUGUAAGUCAGGGGUGAAAGUUUGUGGCUCAACCAUAAAAUUGCCUUUGAUACUGCAGGUCUUGAGUCAUGGUGGGGUCGCCGGAACAUGUGGUGUAGCGGUGAAAUGCAUAGAUAUCACAUAGAACACCGAUCGCGAAGGCAGGUGACCAACCAUGUACUGACGCUGAUGGACGAAAGCGUGGGUAGCGAACGGGAUUAGAUACCCCGGUAGUCCACGCCGUAAACGAUGGAUACUAGCUGUGGGGACUUCGGUCUCCGUGGCCAAGCGAAAGUGAUAAGUAUCCCACCUGGGGAGUACGUUCGCAAGAAUGAAACUCAAAKGAAUUGACGG
rnacentral:rRNA from 1 species